GAUGAACGCUGGCGGCGUGCCUAAUACAUGCAAGUCGAGCGAACAGACGAGGAGCUUGCUCCUCUGACGUUAGCGGCGGACGGGUGAGUAACACGUGGAUAACCUACCUAUAAGACUGGGAUAACUUCGGGAAACCGGAGCUAAUACCGGAUAAUAUAUUGAACCGCAUGGUUCAAUAGUGAAAGACGGUUUUGCUGUCACUUAUAGAUGGAUCCGCGCCGCAUUAGCUAGUUGGUAAGGUAACGGCUUACCAAGGCAACGAUGCGUAGCCGACCUGAGAGGGUGAGGGGCCACACUGGAACUGAGACGCGCCCAAGACUCCUGGGGGAGGCACCGUGGGGGAAUCUUCGGCAGUGGGCGAAAGCCUGACGAGGCACCCCCGGGUGAGGGAUGAAGUUCUUGGGUUCGAAAAACUCUUUUUUUAGGGAAAAAAAAAUGUGUAAGAAACUGUGCACGUCUUGACGGUCCCUAAUAGAAAAACCACGGCUAACUACGUG
rnacentral:rRNA from 1 species